AUGAAAGUAGUAUUGAAGGUGGACUUUAAUAAUGACAAAAUCAAGCAAAAAGUUAUCAAAACAUCAUCUAGUCUUUCAGGGGUUGAAUCAAUAUCAAUGGACAUGAAUGAGAAGAAAUUGACAUUAUUAGGAGAUAUUGAUCCGGUAAAGGCAGAAUUCAAGCUAAGAAAAUUGUGUCAUAUUGAAAUAGUUUCUGUUGGACCUCUAGAAGAGAAGAAGGAAGAGUCAACAAAUGUGGCUAUUCCUCUAAAUUCCUUUAAACCCUAUUCAUUCUAUUAUCAAAUAUAUUAA
rnacentral:lncRNA from 1 species